rnacentral:rRNA from 1 species
AGCCCGCUCAGAAACUACAAAGGAAUUGACGGGGGCCCGCACAAGCGGCGGAGCAUGUGGAUUAAUUCGAUGCAACGCGAAGAACCUUACCUGGGUUUGACAUAUACCGGAAAGCUGCAGAGAUGUGGCCCCCCUUGUGGUCGGUAUACAGGUGGUGCAUGGCUGUCGUCAGCUCGUAUCGUGAGAUGUUGGGUUAAGUCCCGCAACGAGCGCAACCCCUAUCUUAUGUUGCCAGCACGUUAUGGUGGGGACUCGUAAGAGACUGCCGGGGUCAACUCGGAGGAAGGUGGGGACGACGUCAAGUCAUCAUGCCCCUUAUGUCCAGGGCUUCACACAUGCUACAAUGGCCAGUACAGAGGGCUGCGAGACCGUGAGGUGGAGCGAAUCCCUUAAAGCUGGUCUCAGUUCGGAUCGGGGUCUGCAACUCGACCCCGUGAAGUCGGAGUCGCUAGUAAUCGCAGAUCAGCAACGCUGCGGUGAAUACGUUCCCGGGCCUU